rnacentral:rRNA from 1 species
AGGCAUGCGCUGCCUAUUCAUGCAGUUCGAGCGGACAGAUGGGAGCCUUUCGCUUCCCCUGAUGUUUAGCGGCGGACGGGUGAGUAACACGUUGGGUAACCUGCCUGUAAGACUGGGAUAACUCCGGGAAACCGGGGCUAAUACCGGAUGCUUGUUUGAACCGCAUGGUUCAAACAUAAAAGGUGGCUUCGGCUACCACUUACAGAUGGACCCGCGGCGCAUUAGCUAGUUGGUGAGGUAAUGGCUCACCAAGGCAACGAUGCGUAGCCGACCUGAGAGGGUGAUCGGCCACACUGGGACUGAGACACGGCCCAGACUCCUACGGGAGGCAGCAGUAGGGAAUCUUCCGCAAUGGACGAAAGUCUGACGGAGCAACGCCGCGUGAGUGAUGAAGGUUUUCGGAUCGUAAAGCUCUGUUGUUAGGGAAGAACAAGUACCGUUCGAAUAGGGCGGUACCUUGACGGUACCUAACCAGAAAGCCACGGCUAACUACGUGCCAGCAGCCGCGGUAAUACGAGUUG